rnacentral:lncRNA from 1 species
ACUCCUGCUGCCUGGGACUUGCAGUGUAUACCAGGCUGGCCCCCACCUCAAAGAUCAGUGAAGGCCAUUUUGAUACUCUGAAUUUAAUCACAGCUAACAUUUUCCAGCUUGUUCAAAAGCAAAAUGGAUCUGGUCCUGGAGAGCGAACUCAGAACCUUUUGGAGACGAGCACGGUUCUGCAGCAGGAAAACUUCCCAAGACUUACCUGGCCCCUACCUCCGACCUUGUAACACCGUCACCCCACCUCUGCUUCUUCAGGAUUCCUAGAAUCCAGUCCUCAUGUGCCAGCAGCAGCAUGGAAGAAAUAGAAUCUAAGAUUUUAAACUCGCCUUUGGAUCAUGCCUUAAGGACAGCAACCAAACUGAAAAAAAACA